GGGGUUGUGGCUCAGCGGUAGAGCACUCGCCUAACACAUGAGACGCCCUGGGUUUGAUCCUCAGCACCACA
rnacentral:tRNA from 1 species